rnacentral:rRNA from 1 species
GACGAACGCUGGCGGCGUGCCUAAUACAUGCAAGUCGAGCGGACAGAAGGGAGCUUGCUCCCGGAAGUUAGCGGCGGACGGGUGAGUAACACGUGGGCAACCUACCCUGUAGAUCGGGAUAACAUCGAGAAAUCGGUGCUAAUACCGGCUAAUCAUUUGAAGUGCAUGCUUCGAAUGUAAAAGAUGGCUCCGGCGAUCACUACGGGAUGGGCCCGCGGCGCAGUAGCGAGUUGGUAAGGGCAUGGCUUACCAAGGCAACGAUGCGUGACCGACCUGAGAGGGUGAUCGGCCAAGCUGGGACUGGGACACGGCCCAGACUCCGACGGGAGGCAGCAGUAGGGAAUCUUCCGCAAUGGACGAAAGUCUGACGGAGCAACGCCGCGUGGGUGAUGAAGGUUUUCGGAUCGUAAAGCUCUGUUGUUAGGGAAGAACAAGUGCCGUUUGAAUAAGGCGGCACCUUGACGGUACCUAACCAGAAAGCCACGGCUAACUACGUGCCAGCCGCCGCCGUAAUAC